UGCGAGCCAGGCUGGGUUUGAAGGAUCUUAUGGAGCACUUACCGAAGUCAAAGGGAAAAUAUUUUAACUUCGCUUGUUUUGGGUCAGACUGCAAAAAACCAAAUUAGGCCUCUCUAGAAGGGGUUGGAGGUGGGUUGGAGGCCAGAGGAGGAACACGCUGCAGUCUAAGAGCAAAAUGGGAAGCUGGAUCAGAAUGGCUCUUCCACAUUUUCUAUACACUGGCAGUUCUGCCUGGAGACAAAGACGUCGCCGAAUGUCCACAUACAGAAGAAAAGACCGUCCCAUCACGCGACAGCAGACAAAACAGAAAGUGGAACAACAUUCUGCUCUAGCAGUUAAGCCAUAAGCCAGACACAGCCUGAACAGAAACUGUUUUCUGAAUGACAUGUUAUUAUCCCUUGUUUACCCUAAAAACCCUAUUGCUUUCCCUUCUUAACUUUUACCAAAAACCUCUAACCUUAUACCCACUCCCCCAUCCUUAGCUUAUAGAGAGAGGAAAAAAAAAAAAAAAAAAAAAAGGCGGGGGGGGGAAAGGAAAGGAGGAAAGGAAUAAGGGAGAAAACCCUCUCCUACCACCAUAAAGAUAACAAAUGUUGCUUAUAUUCCCUAUUAGAAGCCCCAUCCUUGUCCAAAGAUGAAAAUUAUCUCCGUUGGUGCUGUCCUCACUGCUGCCUGGAUGCUUAUCACCAUACCAUAUGCCUUCGGCUGGAUUAGCCCACAGCCUAGCCACAAUGUUUGGGUAACCUUAGCGAAAACAUUAAAACAGGAUAACAUGUGCUUAUCCAUGGGAAGCAUUGAUAACCCACUUUCCACAUGUUUAAUAGGGAUUCCAUUUGUAGCAGACGAUUGGCCCGUCUAUAAUUCAGAGCUCCUCUGCACCACAGGUAGGAGCCCCAACAUGGUAAAUACUUGGAAUGAGUGGACAAAAAUGUUGCCCAAUGCUCAAGAGGAACCCCAAGAAUUGGACCUGUUGGGGUCCUCCAAGGCAACAUACUGUGUCAAAUUUUACUUUAGAUGUCCAAAGAACAAUUGACCAGAAAUUGACCAGACAAAAAACACAUACAGAGAGGAUGUAUCACACAUCAACAAAGCCUAUAACUAUCUGGAUUGGCGCAAUUACACUGCUCAGGUGAUCUCUGUAUCCUCUCUCCACCCCAAAGUAUUACCCAAAGGAACAUUUCUCAUCUGUGGUGACAGAGUAUGGGCUGGGAUCCCCUCCCACCUCCAGGGAGGUCACUGUAGCCUUGGAAAACUUUCCACCCUCACUCCAAAUAUUACCUUGUUACAUAAUUGGAAAAAAGAAAGCGAAUUAAAACACCACAAAAGAUCCUACGCAGAAUUUGAUGAAAAUUGUGAUCCAAAAUUAUACGAUUGGAACAAAGCAAAAAAGAUUGCAGUCUCCCUUCUCCUACCCUGGGGUAGCUGCUGCUAAAGCUCUUGGUGAAAUAAAUCACUUAGGGUGCUGGUUCAGCAAGCAAGCCAACGCUACCUCUGCCACCCUAAGCGAUCUUUUAAAGGAAGAAGAAACCACGAGACAUGCAUCACUUCAAAAUUGAGCAGCAAUUGACUUCCUACUGCUAGCCCACGGACAUGGCUGCCAAGACUUUGAAGGGAUGUGUUGCUUCAAUCUCUCUUCACGCUUGGAAUCCAUCCACGCAAACAUCCAGAAACUGAAGGAACUUGUGAAGGACUUAAAAGUAGAAAGCAACCCAGACUGGGUCAAUGACCUUUUCAGUCAAUGGGGAUUAAUGGGAUGGGUUGCAUCGUUGGUUAAGGGAAUUCUGUGGAUUUUCAUUGUAAUUGUCAUUGUGUUGAAUAUGUUCUCAUGCCUUGUCCACUGUUUCAAAAGAACUAUAGGACACGCCUUUUUACUAAAUACAGAAAGUGGAGUUGUAGCAGGCAGAGGCCCUGCAAGGCCUCUAUGGCGGUCACUCGCCUAAGAUAAGAGAUGCAUAGUCAUGAUGAGUGGACCAAAGCAGCCCGUCUUCUGCCCUCAGACCCUUGUUAUCUCUCUGUAAGGCUAUAGGUCGUAUUCUCCUCAAACCUGGCCAUUGGACAAUUUCCAACACCCCAGUAUCCUACAUAAACCCCAUCUCUGCCCAAUUUGGCAGAAGAGCUGUCACUGGAAACCUUUGCAGGAGCUGCCAAUAAAGACACCGCUGCGGAACUCCA